UAAAGCAGAGAUUGUAUUGGGAAGGAAUCUGGCAAUUUGACAUAGUGGCAUUUUCCUAGGAUUCACUUCUCUCCUCCCAACACUCUGCUCAAUAAGCAGAUGGAACAAUCUAGAGGUCUUGCCGGUUUCAUUUGGCUGCUCCACUUACAUGAGCAGGAAAGGAGCUUUUACAAAUAUAUGAAAGCAAAAAGUAGCAAAUGUAAAAUUUUCAAAAGUGCCUAAAUCCCAUUUGCAGUGACUUAGCGACCUCCGGACAGAUUUUUAAAGGUAUUUUCAAAAACUUAGCUGCUUUUGGAAAUUUUACUCCUAGAAAAGUAGUCCCAUUAAUAAAUUAGGAGAGGAAUAAAAUUAAGGAGGAGUCACAAAUAAGUGAGAUAUUCUGCUCCUUUUCUAAAUCUAGCCUCAGGAGUUAAAGUCUGUACAAUUAGGCAGCAAUGAACGACAAGCUUUUUAAAAUAGCUCUUGAUAAAAAAUUGGGAAAUUUGAACAGACACAAAUCAGUCACUCCAGAUGACAGAUAAAAUUUUCACCCAACUCCCCUCAGCUCAUGUGUUACUGAUUUGGGCUCUGAUUUAACAUUUCCCUAUGAUUUUACCGGGAAUAGAAGUGAAGCUAACUGGACAUGUAUGGUCAGAAUCCCUCUUCUUACUUCUUUGCACUCAAAGAAAAUUUUACAUGAUAUGUCCUAGGCUGUUAAAGGAAUGAACUAUAAAGCUUAGUGAACAAUUGACAAUUGGUUUUAAGAAGUUAUGAAGAUCUGGGGAGGUAGCAGAAAACUGGGCAAAAGGAAAUGUCAUACGAGGUGUCCAAAGAGCCUGCCUCAGCAGAGAAGGGUGAAUGAAGCAUGGGUGCGAAGAGGGAAUUCGGAAUUCCUGACUCCAUGCCUAGUCGUGGCUGGGCUACCCAUGGGAAUGCCUGGGGUGGCUCCUGCUCAGAUGCCAGGAUGCCACUGAGGAUCAGCAGCAGCAGAAAGGAACAAGUCACUGAUUUCAUGAGGGGAAAGGAGUUACUGCGAUCCAGGCACAGUAUUGCCCUAAGGCAAGUGAUUGGAGAGACAUCCAGGCUGCUCACAUAUUGGCUGAGAAAUAAGGCUUUGCAUGGACCAAACUGAACAUUUUCCCAAAUGGAGCAGGUGGGAGCAGCAGGGGCGAAGGAUCAGCAGGACUCGCUGGAAGAAGAAAGCUCAGAAAUCCCCUCCUUUGCACAGGGCUGCCUGGGUCAGGAGAGAGGUGUGUAUGAGAAGAGCUACUAGGAGAAGAUCCACCUGAAGUGUCAUAAGACCCUCCACUUCUGGAUGAAGCCGUUCAAGUGCAGGAAGUGCUUCCUGCAGACAUGGGAGCUGACGAUGCACAAGAGGACCCACACAGGUGAGAAGCCGUACAGCUGCAGCCAGUGUGCCAAGAGCUCCAGCCAGAUCUCCAACUUCUGGCAUUGGCGCAUCCACACCAGUGAGCGGCCCUUUUGCCUGCCCCCAGGGUCAGUGGCGCUUUGGCCUCUGCUCUGGCCUCACCACUCACCAGAAGAUGCAUACCAGGGAGGCCCUGCCUGUGCUGAACACCAGGAAGGCCAUUGCAGAGGGUUAGAGAAGAGGAGAUUGUGGCUAAGUGAAACCUCUCGCCCCACCAUGGAGAUAGCACUCUGGUCAUACUGUGUGUGUGUGAAUGGCUUACAAAGGGUGUAAAUGACUCAUGUGUGUGACUAACAUGUCACAAUCAUAUUGUUAUUUAUUAUUUGUAUUGUGGUAGUUCCUGGGUUCCUCAAUCACAGACCCCAUUGUACCAGGCGCUGUGCAGAUGCAGAACAAAAAGACCCGCAGAACUGAUGAGCAACAGGUAUCCUCCCUAGGGCGCUUAGCUGGCCCCCAUCCCUGUCUUAUCGGAGCACUUCACAACUAACAAUGUUUAUCCUCACAGCGCCCCCAUGAGGUUGGGAACUGCUAUUGUCCCCAUUCUGCAGACCUGAGGGCACAGAGAGGAUCAGUGACAUGCCCAAUGCCACCCAUGGAAUUUGUGCCUGAUUAGGGACCUCAACAUGGAUCUCUCGAAUCAGACCUGGCGCACUGGGCCAUCCUGCCCCUUACAGAGAGCUAGAAAGCUCACAAGGACAUCUGUAGAAGAUGUUAUAGCUGGUUAUGACCAACUUGUUGACCUGUUGGAUUCUUUUAACAAUUGAUGACCCAUUUUUUCAAACCUUUUAAUCAUUUAUUAACACAUUUUAUAAACUGUUGGUAAAUGGAACUUCAGUAUAAAGCAUAAGCAACUUUCUCAUAAUUGUGUACUGUAGCCUAUAGGACUAACCUGCUUGCUUGUGUAUAUAUCUAUAUAGAUCUAUCUAUCUUUUCUUAUACUUUAAGUAUUUGGGUUGAUUGUAAUAGGUUUAUAGAUUUAUAUUAAAGUAAGUUUGGUUGUAAUGCAAGAGACCGACAGGCCAUAUCCUAUAUGUUAAGCUAAGGCAAAGUUAGUAGACUUAUAUUAAGACCUUUUACUCAGAAAGCAAAGUUGACCUAUAUCUUGUUACCUAAAUAGAUGAGUAUCUAUGCCUAUGUCCAUGACCUUUUAUGUAGACCAAUAGACAAUGGAGAAUGGCAUAGAGGAGUUUUCAAUGUUAUACCCACAGACUUAACAAAUCCACCAC